rnacentral:snRNA from 1 species
GGAUGUGAGGGUGAUGUGGCUGCGACCUCUGUCACCCCACUGAUCGCCAGGGUUGAUUCAACUAAUCUGGCUGGCUAGGCGGGUGUCCCUUUCCUCCCUCACCGCUCCAUGUGCGCCCCUCCCAAAACUGCGUGCUUGGUCGAAGAGGAUGACCAUCCCCGCUAGAGGAGGACCGGUCUUUGGUUAAGGGAAUGCGAGUAGCUGCGCUCUCCUGCUAGAACCUCCAAACAAGCUCUGGAGAUUAAUCAUAGUCACUUAACAUUGGCACUGAAUAGAUGGUAUUAGCAGCAGCAGCAGUAACAGUUUGUAAAUCACGGAAUAGCAAGUGUUUCUUU